ensembl:misc_RNA Metazoa_SRP Metazoan signal recognition particle RNA
GCUGGGUGCUGUGGUGUGUGCCUGUAGUCACAGCUACUCAAGAGGCUGGGACAGGAAGAUCACUUGGGCCCAGGAGUUUCAGACUAUAGGACAUUAUGUUGAUUGGGUGUCUGAAAUAAGUUCUGCGUCAGUCUAGUGACCUCCCAGGAGUGGGGGACCACCAGGUUGCCUUAGGAAAUGUGAACCACCUCAGGUUGGGAACAGAGCAGGUCAAAACUCCUGUGCUGAUCAAUAGUGGGAUUGUCCUUAUAAAUAGCCACUGUACGCCAGCCUAGGCAACAACAAGACCUUAUCUCUA